UGCUAUCGAUAUCGUACUACGUUCAUCGUCUAUGACCAGUUGACAUCGACGUAAUCGGUGGUCUCGGUGAUUCCUUGGUUGCUGGGAGCGGUGCGCUGGAGGAAUUCGCUAUGGAAUCUUUUAUCAAGGCACGUCGGGUCAGCUGGUGUAUCGGAGGUCAAGCUAACUGGAGACGAUUUUUAGCACUGCCCAAUAUUUUAAAUGUGUUUAAUUCGAGGUUAACCGGAUACGCCACAAGGACGGGUAAAUUUAUCUCGACCGCUGCAAGACUAAAUGUCGCCUUCCCAGUCGCUGCUGUAGGGGACGCGUUGCAACAAGCGAGAAUCUUGUUGCAAAGGAUCAAGAGUGAUACGAAGAUAGACACGAAAAAGCAAUAGAAGCUCAUCAUGAUUCAAUUUGAGGCUAAUAAAGUCUGUUCGGAGCAAUGUUACAACCCGA